rnacentral:rRNA from 1 species
UACGGGGGGGCAAGCGUUGUUCGGAAUUACUGGGCGUAAAGGGCUCGUAGGCGGCCAACUAAGUCAGACGUGAAAUCCCUCGGCUUAACCUGGGAACUGCGUCUGAUACUGGAUGGCUUGAAUUCGGGGAGAGGGAUGCAGAAUUCCAGGUGUAGCGGUGGAAUGCGCAGAUAUCAGGAGGAACACCGGUGGCGAAGGCGGGUCUCUGGGCAGUAACUGACGCUGAGGAGCGAAAGCGUGGGGGAGCGAACAGG